UACGUAGGGGGCAAGCGUUGUCCGGAAUCAUUGGGCGUAAAGAGCGUGUAGGCGGUUCGGUAAGUCGGCUGUGAAAGUCCAGGGCUCAACCCUGGGAUGCCGGUCGAUACUGCCGGACUAGAGUUCGGAAGAGGCGAGUGGAAUUCCCGGGUGUAGCGGUGAAAUGCGCAGAUAGUCGGGAGGAACACCUAUGGGCGAAGGCAGCUCGCUGGGACGUUACUGACGCUGGAGACGCGAAAGCGUGGGGAGCAAACAGG
rnacentral:rRNA from 1 species